AGCGAACGCUGGCGGCGUGCCUAACACAUGCAAGUCGAACGUGAAAAGGGAAACCUGAGUAAAGUGGCGUACGGGUGAGUAACGCGUAGGUAAUCUACCCCAGAAUCUGGAAUAACCUGCCGAAAGGCGGGCUAAUACUGGAUAGAGCGAGGGAGCUCGUAAGAGAGUUUUUCGGGAAAGGGAGCCCGCAAGGGCCUUCGUUCUGGGAUGAGCCUGCGUCUCAUUAGCUAGUUGGUAAGGUAACGGCUUACCAAGGCGAUGAUGAGUAGCUGGUCUGAGAGGAUGAUCAGCCACACUGGAACUGAAACACGGUCCAGACUCCUACGGGAGGCAGCAGUGGGGAAUCUUGCGCAAUGGACGAAAGUCUGACGCAGCCACGCCGCGUGAGUGAAGAAGGCCUUCGGGUUGUAAAGCUCUGUCGGAUGGGACGAACAUCUUCAUAGUGAAUAGCUAUGAGGACUGACGGUACCAUCAAAGGAAGCACCGGCUAACUCCGUG
rnacentral:rRNA from 1 species